rnacentral:rRNA from 2 species
UUCGCAAUGCCCGAAAGGGUGACGAAGCGACGCCGCGUGUGGGAAGAAGGCCUUCGGGUUGUAAACCACUGUUGGGAGUUAGGAAGUGUGGAGGUGUUAAUAGCGCUUUCACUUGACUAAAGCUCCAGAGGAAGCCACGGCUAACUCUGUGCCAGCAGCCGCGGUAAUACAGAGGCGGCAAGCGUUGUUCGGAAUUAUUGGGCGUAAAGAGCACGUAGGCGGCUCUGCAAGUCAGCUGUGAAAGCCUUCUGCUUAACGGAAGAACGGCAGUUGAAACUACAGGGCUUGAGUGCGGGAGGGGAGAGUGGAACUUCUGGUGGAGCGGUGAAAUGCGUAGAUAUCAGAAGGAACGCCGGCGGCGAAAGCGGCUCUCUGGUCCGUAACUGACGCUGAGUGUGCGAAAGCUAGGGGAGCAAACGGGAUUAGAUACCCCGGUAGUCCUAGCCGUAAACGAUGGGCACUAAGUAGAGGGGUUUU